rnacentral:rRNA from 1 species
UACGUAGGGGGCAAGCGUUGUCCGGAGUUACUGGGCGUAAAGCGCACGCAGGCGGUCGAUUAAGUUUGGAGUGACAGUUGGUGGCUUAACUGCCAAAGUGCUUUGAAAACUGAUCGACUUGAGGGCUUCAGAGGGACACGGAAUUCCGGGUGGAGUGGUGAAAUGCGUAGAGAUCCGGAGGAACACCGAAGGCGAAGGCAGUGUCCUGGGGAGUACCUGACGCUCAGGUGCGAAAGCCAGGGAGGCGAACGGG